UACGGAGGGUGCAAGCGUUGUCCGGAAUCACUGGGCGUAAAGGGCGCGUAGGCGGCUCGGUAAGUAGGGGGUGAAAUCCUGCGGCUCAACCGCAGGGCUGCCUUCUAAACUGUCGAGCUCGAGCACGGUAGAGGCAGAUGGAAUUCCCGGUGUAGCGGUGAAAUGCGUAGAUAUGUGGAGGAACACCGAUGGCGAAGGCAGCCCCCUGGGUCAAGACUGGACGCCUCAUGCACGAAAGCGUGGGGAGCAAACAGG
rnacentral:rRNA from 1 species